rnacentral:rRNA from 1 species
AUGUGCAGACGAGGUGGUGUGCGAAGACGCAGAUCUCGAGCUUGGCGAGGCUCAUCCCCGGGCACAUCCGCGGCCCGCUGCCGAACCCCAGGAAGCUGUACGGCUUCAGCGACCCCUGCAUACGUGCAUUGCACAAAGUCAGUCGAGUCGUUAGCUAGCUCGGCUGCUCGCCGGAGACGAGGAAGAAAGGAAGCUAGGCUAGGCACGCACGUCGAAUCUGUCCGGGUCGAAGCGCUCGGGGUCGGCGAAGACGGCGGCGUCGUGGUGGAUGGACACCACGUCCAGGUUCACCGACGCGCCCUUGGCCACCUGGAAGCCGUCGAUGUUGAAGUCCUGCGCGGCCUUGCGCGAGUACCACGGCAGGAUGGUGGCCCGCCGCAGCGUCUCGUUCAUCACCUUGGUCGUGUACGGCAUGCUGCUCAGGUCCGACCACCACAGGUGCUGCGUGUCGUCGCCGUCGUGCGCCGCCCGGAUCCCCAUGUGCUCCUCCCUGAGCCUGGCGAGCACGUCCGGGUUCUCGCCGAGGAACUUGACGAGCCAGGUCAGGCCCGCCGUGGUGGUGUCGUGGCCGGCCACCAGCAGCGUCAGGAUGUUGUCCUUGAGCUGCGCGUCCGUCAGCUUCUCCUCCUCCGCCGGGUCCGACGAUCCUUGCUGGCCGCGGGCGUGCUUCAUGAGGAGCGUCUGGAGGAAGUCCUCGCGGACCUCGCCGGCCCUGCGGCGCGCGAUCACCGCGUCCAGCAUGGCGUACAUCCGGUUCCGGCCGCCGAGGCCGCGGUGGAAGGCCGUGCCGGGGAGCUUGAGCGGCAGCGACGCGAAGGAGGAGGAGAUGGCCUUGAAGUUGGCCCGGAACUCCUCCUGCUCCGGCCCCUCCGGCUCCAGGCUGACGAGCAUGUUGGCGAUGACCUUGAGCGUGAACUGGGAGGCCUCGUCGAGGACGAGCACGCGGCCGCGGCCGGCCCAGGAGCCGAGGAUCUGCACGGCGAGGCCGUCGAUGAAGGCGAAAUGCUUCCGUAA